rnacentral:snRNA from 1 species
UGUCUCUGGUGUCUCCUCACUUGCGGAUAAAUCAUUCGCCUUUUACUAAAGAUUUCCGUCGAGAGGCACAAUACAUUGAGUCUUAUCUCAUUUUUUUUCAGCUCUGUUUUAGGAUAGAGUU